GGACUUCUGGAGGUCGUCGAGGAGCAGGCGCGCGAGGAGGAAGUGGCCCAGGUGGUUGACGCCCACGCUCAUCUCGUACCCGUCGGCGGUGAACGUCGGCGUCCGCGCCGUCGGGCGGUAGAUGGCGGCGUUGCAGACGAGGGAGUCGAGCGGCAUCCCGGCGCGGCGGAAGUUGUCGACGAACUGGCGGACGCUGUCGAGGGAAGCGAGGUCGAGGUGCAUGAUGGUGUAGCUGCCCUCCGCCAUGCCCGCGCCCUUGGCGGCCUUGGCCGUCUUGAGGAAGUCGCGGCAGGCCAUGACGACGUGCCACUUGCCCGUCUCCGCCAGCGCCUUGGCCGCGGCCAGGCCGAGCCCCGACGACGCGCCCGUGAUCACCACCACGCCCUGGCGCAGCGUCUUCUUGCCGUCCUUGGUCGCCGUGCUGGCACCCGGGGUGGCCACGGGCGCCGUCGCCACCGCCUGCGCCCUCACCGAAAGCGACGGC
rnacentral:lncRNA from 1 species